GUGCCAGCAGCCGCGGUAAUACAGAGGUCUCGAGCGUUAGGCGGAAUCACUGGGCUUAAAGCGUGUGUAGGUGGAUGCCUAAGUACCUUGUGAAAUCCCACGGCUUAACCGUGGAACUGCUUGGUAUACUGGGUGUCUUGAGUCACUCAGGGGCGAGCGGAACAAAUGGUGGAGCGGUGAAAUGCGUAGAUAUCAUUUGGAACGCCAAUGGUGAAAACAGCUCGCUGGGGGUGUACUGACACUGAGACACGAAAGCCAGGGGAGCGAACGGGAUUAGAUACCCCGGUAGUCC
rnacentral:rRNA from 1 species